UGGGGAAUAUUGGUCAAUGGACGCAAGUCUGAACCAGCCAUGUAGCGUGCAGGAUGACGGCCCUAUGGGUUGUAAACUGCUUUUAUAUGGGGAUAAAGUGGGGAACGUGUUCCCUUUUGCAGGUACCAUAUGAAUAAGGACCGGCCAAUUCCGUGCCAGCAGCCGCGGUAAUACGGAAGGUUCGGGCGUUAUACGGAUUUAUUGGGUUUAAAGGGAGCGUAGGCCGUUUGGUAAGCGUGUUGUGAAAUGUAGGAGCUCAACUUCUAGAUUGCAGCGCGGACUGUCAGACUUGAGUGCGCACAACGUAGGCGGAAUUCAUGGUGUAGCAGUGAAAUGCGUAGAUAUCAUGAAGAACUCCGAUUGCGAAGGAAGCUUACGGGAGCGCAACUGACGCUGAAGCUCGAAGGAGCGGGUAUCGAACAGG
rnacentral:rRNA from 1 species